rnacentral:rRNA from 1 species
GGUCGAGUGAGGACUCUGGGUCACCUCCCACCCGUGUCUAUCGUACCUUGUUGCUUCGGCGGGCCCGCCGUUUCGACGGCCGCCGGGGAGGCCCUGCGCCCCCGGGCCCGCGCCCGCCGAAGACCCCAACAUGAACGCUGUUCUGAAAGUAUGCAGUCUGAGUUGAUUAUCGUAAUCAGUUAAAACUUUCAACAACGGAUCUCUUGGUUCCGGCAUCGAUGAAGAACGCAGCGAAAUGCGAUAAGUAAUGUGAAUUGCAGAAUUCAGUGAAUCAUCGAGUCUUUGAACGCACAUUGCGCCCCCUGGUAUUCCGGGGGGCAUGCCUGUCCGAGCGUCAUUGCUGCCCUCAAGCACGGCUUGUGUGUUGGGCCCCCGUCCCCCUCUCCCGGGGGACGGGCCCGAAAGGCAGCGGCGGCACCGCGUCCGGUCCUCGAGCGUAUGGGGCUUUGUCACCUGCUCUGUAGGCCCGGCCGGCGCCAGCCGACACCCAACUUUAUUUUUCUAAGGUUGACCUCGGAUCAGGUAGGGAUACCCGCUGAACUUAAGCAUAUCAAA